UGGCCUUCUCAAUCAUUGCUUCUUUGUGCU
rnacentral:piRNA from 1 species